GAGAGAGAAAGAGAAAAGCUGCUGCAGAAGCACACCAAGACAAACCAGCAUUUCUACAAUCCAUAAACUCCACUGUCCUGAAAGGCAGCUGCACCAGGUGAUGAAGUUUGGAUCAGACUAAAGCCUCCUUCAGAGUAAAGCCAGAGGUGGAGACAUGGAAUAAGCAGAUUAUAGGACUUCUUCAGGAGCUGUUCUCCUCACAAAUGGAUUUCUGUCUGGUAAGGUGAAUUGUGAUGGAAAUACUUCAUUUGGGACACUGUCAUGGUGCACAUGACAUAUCAUUCAUAGCACAGCCCUGAAGCUGUGAGAAGAAAAGACCUGUACUUGCCAGUAGGAAAUCAGUGGCUUAUUUCUCCUGACUUUGGGAAAACUUUCCCAUUUACACGGUGAAGUGCAGUUACUGAGAGGUUACUAGAGUUUGUUUGCUGGUGACGUGUUCCUGUGACUCACCAUCUGUCACGAGUCUGUGUCUGCCUGGAGAGAGAGCGAAAGCAGGGGUCCGAAUCCCAGCCUUUCACCCAGUCUUUGACCCUCUGGACUACAGGCUGAGACUGGAAGACCUCACCUGCCAGGCUUCCUUCUCGUCCUCCCUUAGUGGUGCACUGCAGCUCAGGGGCAAAACUUGUGAACAGCCCCUUGCCACACAACCCCUCCUUCUUGGGGCCCAGGAGGUGAUACUCGAGUCAGCAAGCAACCCGGUUUUGUUUA